GGACUCGAUCAUGGCUCAGAUUGAACGCUGGUGGGAUGCUUUACACAUGCAAGUCGAACGGCAGCACGGACUUCGGUCUGGUGGCGAGUGGCGAACGGGUGAGGCAAUGUAUCGGAACGUGCCUAGUAGCGGGGAUAACUACGCGAAAGUAGCUAAUACCGCAUACGCCCUUCGGGGGAAAGCGGGGGACCUUCGCCUCGCACUAUUAGAGCGGCCAGAUAUCGGAUUAGCUAGUUGGUGGGGCAACGGCUCACCAAGGCGACGAUCCGUACGGUUUGAGAGAUGACCAGCCACACUGGGACUGGUGAGCGGCCCAGACUCUACGGGAGUGCGUUAUGGGGAAUUUUGGACAAUGGGGGAAAACCCCUGAUCCAGCCAUCCUCCGCGUGUGCGAUGAAGGCCUCGGGAAGUUGUAAAGCACUUUUGGCAGGAAGAAACGGCACGGGAUAAUACCCCGUGCAACUGACGUACCUGCAGAAUAAGCACCGGCUAACUACGUGCCACAGCAGCCGCGUAAUACGUAGGGUGCAGCAGCAUCGGGAUUAUCAGCGAAGCGCGUGCGCGGCAGGCGGUUCGGAAAGAAAGAUGUGAACUCAGAGCUUAAUCCUUGGGAACUGCAUUUUUAACUACCGAGCUAGAGUGUGUCAGAGGGAGGUGAAUUCGGUAGUGAAAUGCGUAGAUAUGCGGAGGAACACCGAUGGCGAAGGCAGCCUCCCCUGGGAUAACACUGACGCUCAUGCACGAAAGCGUGGGGAGCAACAGGAUUAGAUACCCUGGUAGUCCACGUCCUAAACGAUGUCAACUAUUGCUGGGGCCUUUCGGGCCUUGGUAGCGCAGUUAACGCGUGAAGUUGACCGCCUGGGGAGUACGGUCGCAAGAUUAAAACUCAAAGAAUUGACGGGGACUCGCACAAGCGGUGGAUGAUGUGGAUUACCUGAUGCAACGCGAAAAACCUUACCUACCUUUGACAUGUCUGGAAUCCCGAAGAUUUGGGAGUGCUCGCAAGAGAACCGGAACACAGGUGCUGCAUGGCUGUCAGCUCGUGGUCGGCAGAUGUUGGGUUAAGUCCCGCAACGAGCGCAAACUCGUCAUUAGUUGGGCCACAUGAAAGGGCACCCAAUGAGACUGCCGGGGUGACAAACCGGAGGAAGGUGAUGACGCCGGGUCCUCAUGGCCCUAUGGGUAGGGCUUCACACGUCAUACAAUGGCCGGUCAGAGGGUCGCCAACCCAUGAGGGAAGCCAAUCCCAGAAACCUGAUCGUAGUCCGGAUCGCAGUCUGCAACUCGACUGCGUGAAGUCGGAAUCGCUAGUAAUCGAUCAGCAUGUCGGCGGUGAAUACGUUCCCGGGUCUUGUACACCGCCCGUCACACCAUGGGAGUGGGUUUUACCAGAAGUAGUUAGCCUAACCGUAAGGAGGGCGAUUACCACGGUAGGAUUCAUGACUGGGGUGAAGUCGUAACAAGGCAG
rnacentral:rRNA from 1 species